rnacentral:lncRNA from 1 species
CCUGUCACAGCUGGUGGACCUCAAUCAGGAUUUUCUUGUAAGGAUGCCCAUGCUGUUAAGAAUUGUAUUUGCAAUUAUGAAGAGCAUUAAGAGCUGCAGAAUGGGUACUGUAAAGUUUUUACUAACCAGUUUUUGAAAUGAGAUGCUUCUAGCUCAGGAGAGCAUUGAAGGCAUAUUUAAAUCCUCCUGAAAACUCUAAGCCAGUGCUUAAGUGCUUUUGGAAAUCAUCACUGGGACAUACUGAUGUGAUGAAUGAAUUAACCAAGGAGCAUAAUACCUCAUUGCCAACUGAGAGCAAAUCCUUGAAGUUCAGUGCUAUUCCACUUAAAAUAUUUCAGUUGGAUCUCAAACCAAGAUGUGCAGAAGAAUUGUUACCACUGAAGAAGCUGGAUUUUUUGUCAAGAAGGAGACUCGUGAUUCCUUUGCUUCAGGGAAAUUUAAAUGAAGAAACGUUCAAUUUGGAGGUUUGCCUAUUCUACUUGGAAAAUGUUAAAAAAUGGGUUGAAGAAAACAAGAAGAGCCAGAAAAGACUGCAAAGGAAAAUUGCCAUAUCUUUAGUCAAGUUUAUAAAUCUUUCCCUGGGACUUUUUGACAAAUGACUGCCCACCAACUUUGUGAGAUUUCUCCUGGACA